CUUUCAAGUAGCCAAAACGCUUUCACAGGGCUUGCUGGAACUGGGUUUUGCACUUCUACAUUCACCUUUGGUUCAGUUCCUAAAGAUGGGUCUUCAUCUGGCACUGGUACUGGUUCUUUGUUUGGGCAGAAAAAUGACCAGCCCUCAUUUAGUUUUGGUCUUUCUAAUAAUGGUAAUUCUUCAAUCUUCAACACAAUGGGGUCAA
rnacentral:misc_RNA from 1 species